rnacentral:rRNA from 1 species
ACGAACGCUGGGCCGGCGUGCCUAACACAUGCAAGUCGAACGGAAAAUUAAGGGGCUUGCUCCUUAAUUUAGUGGCGCCACGGGUGAAGUAAUGCGUAGAUAAUCUACCCAAGGAUCCGGGGAUAUAACAUUUCGAAAGGGGUGCUAAUACCGGAAUAAGCCCACGGAGUCUUCGGACUCUGCGGGGAAAAAGGGGGGGGACCUUCGGGCCUUCUGUCCUCGGAUGAGUCUACGUACCAUUAGCUAGUUGGUGGGGUAAAGGCCUACCAAGGCUACGAUGGUUUAGCUGGUCUGAGAGGAUGAUUCAGCCACACUGGAACUGAGACACGGUCCAGACUCCUACGGGAGGCAGCAGUGGGGAAUUUUGCGCAAUGGGGAAGAAAAACCCUGACGCAGCAACGCCGCGUGAGUGAUGAAGGCCCUUCGGGUCGUAAAGCUCUGUCAGUGGGAAAAGAAAAUGUACGAGGGCCAAUACCCCUUGUACUUGACGGUACCCACAAAGGAAGCACCGGCUAACUCCGUGCCAGCAGCCGCGGGUAAUAACGGAGGGUGCGAGCGUUUGUUCGGAAUUAUUGGGCGUUAAAGCGCGUGUAGGCGGCUCCUUAAGUCUGAUGUGAAAGCCCCGGGCUCAACCUGGGAAGUGCAUUGGAAACUGAGGAACUUGAGUACGGGGGAGGAGGGUAGUGGAAUUCCCAGUGUAGGAGUGAAAUCCGUAGAUAUUGGGAGGAACACCGGUGGCGGAAGGCGGCUACCUGGACCGAUACUGACGCUGAGACGCGAAAAAGCGUGGGGAGGCAAACAGGAUUAGAUACCCUGGUAGUCCACGCCCGGGUAAAACGAUGAGUACUAGGGUGUUGCGGGUAUAUGGACCCCUGCCAGUGCCGCAGCUAACGCAAUUAAGUACUCCGCCUGGGAAGUACGGUCGCAAGACUAAAAACUCAAAGGAAUUGACGGGGGGCCCGCACAAGCGGUGGAGCAUGUGGUUUAAUUCGACGCAACGCGCAGAAACCUUACCUGGGCUCUUGACAUCCGCGGAAUCUCUGUGAAAGCAGGGAGUGCCUUCGGGAGCCGCGAGACAGGUGCUGCAUGGCUUGUCGUCAGCUCGUGUCGUGAGAUGUUGGGUUAAGUCCCGCAACGAGCGCAACCCCUAUCCUUAGUUGCCAUCAUUCAGUUGGGCACUCUAAGGAGACUGCCGGUGUCAAACCGGAGGAAGGUGGGGAUGACGUCCAAGUCCUCAUGGCCCUUAUGUCCAGGGCUACACACGUGCUACAAUGGGCCGGUACAAAGAGCUGCGAAGCCGAGGGGUGGAGCCAAUCUCAAAAAAGCCGGUCUCAGUUCGGAUUGGAGUCUGCAAACUCGACUCCAUGAAGUUGGAAAUCGCUAGUAAUCGCGGAUCAGCAUGCCGCGGUGAAUACGUUCCCGGGCCUUGUACACACCGCCCGUCACACCACGGGAGUCGAUUGGUCCCCGAAGUGGCGUGAGCUAACCCGCAAGGGAGGCAGCGCCCUAAGGAAUGGUCGGUGACUGGGGUG